rnacentral:rRNA from 1 species
UACAGAGGGGGCAAGCGUUGUUCGGAAUUACUGGGCGUAAAGGGCGCGUAGGCGGCCUUCUAAGUCGAACGUGAAAUCCCCGGGCUCAACCCGGGAACUGCGUCCGAUACUGGAAGGCUUGAAUCCGGGAGAGGGAUGCAGAAUUCCAGGUGUAGCGGUGAAAUGCGUAGAUAUCUGGAGGAAUACCGGUGGCGAAGGCGGCAUCCUGGACCGAGAUUGACGCUGAUGAGCGAAAGCUAGGGGAGCAAACGGG